rnacentral:rRNA from 1 species
GUGGGGAAUAUUGCACAAUGGGCGAAAGCCUGAUGCAGCAACGCCGCGUGAAGGAUGAAGGCCUUUGGGUCGUAAACUUCUGUCCUUGGGGAAGAAAAAAAUGACGGUACCCCUGGAGGAAGUCCCGGCUAACUACGUGCCAGCAGCCGCGGUAAUACGUAGGGGGCGAGCGUUAUCCGGAAUUAUUGGGCGUAAAGAGUACGUAGGUGGUUUUUUAAGCGCAGGGUUUAAGGCGAUGGCUCAACUGUCGUUCGCCCUGUGAACUGGAAGACUUGAGUACAGGAGAGGAAAGCGGAAUUCCUAGUGUAGCGGUGAAAUGCAUAGAUAUUAGGAGGAACACCAGUGGCGAAGGCGGCUUUCUGGACUGUAACUGACACUGAGGUACGAAAGCGUGGGGAGCAAACAGGAUUAGAUACCCGGGUAGUCC